GAGGGCAGAGCUCAGUGGUAAAGCACCUGCUUAGCAUGCACAAGGUCCUGGGUUCAAUCCCCAGUACCUCCA
rnacentral:tRNA from 1 species